rnacentral:rRNA from 1 species
UACGGAAGGCAGCAGUGGGGAAUAUUGCACAAUGGGCGCAAGCCUGAUGCAGCCAUACCGCGUGUAUGAAGAAGGCCUUCGGGUUGUAAAGUACUUUCAGCGGGGAGGAAGGCGGUGAAGUUAAUAGCUUCACCGAUUGACGUUACCCGCAGAAGAAGCACCGGCUAACUCCGUGCCAGCAGCCGCGGUAAUACGGAGGGUGCAAGCGUUAAUCGGAAUUACUGGGCGUAAAGCGCACGCAGGCGGUCUGUCAAGUCGGAUGUGAAAUCCCCGGGCUUAACCUGGGAACUGCAUUCGAAACUGGCAGGCUAGAGUCUUGUAGAGGGGGUAGAAUUCUAGGUGUAGCGGUGAAAUGCGUAGAGAUCUGGAGGAAUACCGGUGGCGAAGGCGGCCCCUGGACAAGACUGACGCUCAGGGUGCGAAAGCGUGGGGAGCAAACAGGAUUAGAUACCUU